rfam:Parcubacteria bacterium GW2011_GWA2_47_9 TY15_C0008, whole genome shotgun sequence.
GCCCUCAUCGUUCAAUGGAUAGGACAGGAGCUUGCGGAGCUUCAAAUAGAGGUUCGAAUCCUCUUGAGGGCA